GAGCGUGUUUCUUAUGGUUCCCUGAUGUUCGCCAAAGUCCCACCUUUUUUUCUUGACAUGGUGGGGGUCAUUGGUUCGAGUCCAAUCGCGCCUACCA
rnacentral:tRNA from 1 species